rnacentral:rRNA from 1 species
GGGGGGCGUACCGCUAGAGCUUUGAAUUUGGACCGGUAUAAACACACCUUGCUCUCGGGUGACGAGCGGCGGACGGGUGAGUAAUGUCUGGAAAACUGCCUGAUGGAGGGGGAUAACUACUGGAAACGGUAGCUAAUACCGCAUAACGUCGCAAGACCAAAGUGGGGGACCUUCGGGCCUCAUGCCAUCAGAUGUGCCCAGAUGGGAUUAGCUAGUAGGUGGGGUAACGGCUCACCUAGGCGACGAUCCCUAGCUGGUCUGAGAGGAUGACCAGCCACACUGGAACUGAGACACGGUCCAGACUCCUACGGGAGGCAGCAGUGGGGAAUAUUGCACAAUGGGCGCAAGCCUGAUGCAGCCAUGCCGCGUGUGUGAAGAAGGCCUUCGGGUUGUAAAGCACUUUCAGCGGGGAGGAAGGCGGUGAGGUUAAUAACCUCGUCGAUUGACGUUACCCGCAGAAGAAGCACCGGCUAACUCCGUGCCAGCAGCCGCGGUAAUACGGAGGGUGCAAGCGUUAAUCGGAAUUACUGGGCGUAAAGCGCACGCAGGCGGUCUGUCAAGUCGGAUGUGAAAUCCCCGGGCUCAACCUGGGAACUGCAUUCGAAACUGGCAGGCUAGAGUCUUGUAGAGGGGGGUAGAAUUCCAGGUGUAGCGGUGAAAUGCGUAGAGAUCUGGAGGAAUACCGGUGGCGAAGGCGGCCCCCUGGACAAAGACUGACGCUCAGGUGCGAAAGCGUGGGGAGCAAACAGGAUUAGAUACCCUGGUAGUCCACGCCGUAAACGAUGUCGAUUUGGAGGUUGUGCCCUUGAGGCGUGGCUUCCGGAGCUAACGCGUUAAAUCGACCGCCUGGGGAGUACGGCCGCAAGGUUAAAACUCAAAUGAAUUGACGGGGGCCCGCACAAGCGGUGGAGCAUGUGGUUUAAUUCGAUGCAACGCGAAGAACCUUACCUGGUCUUGACUAUCCACAGAACUUUGCAGAGAAAGUUGGGUCCUUCGGGAACUAGAGUACAGCUUGUCUCAGGCUGUAUCAGCUCGAGAGGGAAGCGAAAG